rnacentral:rRNA from 1 species
AACGAACGCUGGCGGCAGGCUUAACACAUGCAAGUCGAGCGCCCCGCAAGGGGAGCGGCAGACGGGUGAGUAACGCGUGGGAAUCUACCCAUCUCUACGGAAUAACGCAUGGAAACGUGUGCUAAUACCGUAUACGUCCUUCGGGAGAAAGAUUUAUCGGAGAUGGAUGAGCCCGCGUUGGAUUAGCUAGUUGGUGGGGUAAAGGCCUACCAAGGCGACGAUCCAUAGCUGGUCUGAGAGGAUAAUCAGCCACACUGGGACCGAGACACGGCCCAGACUCCUACGGGAGGCAGCAGUGGGGAAUAUUGGACAAUGGGCGCAAGCCUGAUCCAGCCAUGCCGCGUGAGUGAUGAAGGCCCUAGGGUUGUAAAGCUCUUUCACCGGUGAAGAUAAUGACGGUAACCGGAGAAGAAGCCCCGGCUAACUUCGUGCCAGCCGCCGCUGUAAGAC